rnacentral:tRNA from 1 species
CAUUAGAUGACUGAAAGUAAGUAUUGGUCUCUUAAACCAUCACAUAGUAAUAGUAACGUUUACUUCUAAUGA